rnacentral:rRNA from 1 species
UACGAAGGGUGCAAGCGUUACUCGGAAUUACUGGGCGUAAAGCGUGCGUAGGCGGUUUGUUAAGUCCGCUGUGAAAGCCCUGGGCUCAACCUGGGAAUUGCGUUGGAGACUGCAAGGCUGGAGUCUGGCAGAGGGGGGUAGAAUUCCACGUGUAGCAGUGAAAUGCGUAGAGAUGUGGAGGAACACCGAUGGCGAAGGCAGCCCCCUGGGUCAAGACUGACGCUCAUGCACGAAAGCGUGGGGAGCAAACAGG